CAUGGGGUGCAAACGUUGCUCGGAAUUAUUGGGCGUAAAGCGCGCGUAGGCGGCUACUUAAGUCGGAUGUGAAAGCCCCUGGCUCAACUGGGGAAGUGCACCCGAAACUGAGUAGCUAGAGUACAAAAGAGGGCCGCGGAAUUCCCGGUGUAGAGGUGAAAUUCGUAGAUAUCGGGAGGAACACCGGUGGCGAAGGCGGCGGCCUGGGUUGAUACUGACGCUGAGGCGCGAAAGCGUGGGGAGCAAACAGGAUUAGAUACCCUGGUAGUCCACGCCGUAAACGAUGAGUGCUAGAUGUUUCUGGUAUUGACCCCGGAGGCGUCGUAGCUAACGCGUUAAGCACUCCGCCUGGGGAGUACGGCCGCAAGGCUA
rnacentral:rRNA from 1 species